rnacentral:rRNA from 1 species
GACGAACGCUGGCGGCGUGCUUAACACAUGCAAGUCGAACGAAAAGGCCCUGCGUUUGUGGGUUGCUCGAUAGGCGAACGGGUGAGUAAAACGUGAGUAACCUGCCCUUGACUGUGGGAGAACACCAGGAAACAGCGGCGAAUAUCGGAUAGGAUCUCCUGCUGCAUGUGGGUGGAUGGCAAGUUUCGGCCGUAGUGGCUGGACUCGCGGCUUAUCAGCUUGUUGGGGGAGUAGUGGCUUACCAAGGCUUUGACGGGUAGCCUGCCUGAGAGGUUGAACAGCCUCAUUGGGCCUGCGGUACGCACCAGAAUCCUACGGGAGGCAGCAGUCGGGAAUAUUACACAAUAGGCGGAAGCGAGAUACAACAAUCCCCCGUGCGGGAUGCCCGCCUACGGGUUGUAAACCGCUUUGGAAUGUGAUGAAGACUGCGUGACGGUACUGGGUCAAGAAGCCCCGGCUAACUACGUG